AGCAAAAGAGAAAACCCGCAUUGUCAGUGGCUUUGGCGCGAAUUUUGCAAUGCUCCUUCUCGUCAAGCUCGCGUCUGGAUUCCAUUACCAGAGAAGUUACCGAGCGCCAUAGCUUCUGCUUCAAGGUACAACAACAAAAAAAAGACUUUAACACUCUUUUGCAUGUGGUUCAUGAAUACGAAGUGUAUACAACAGAUGUGCGGUGAACGUGGAUCGAACACGUGACCUUCAGAUCUUCAGUCUGACGCUCUCCCAACUGAACUAUCCCCACAUUUGGUACCCAACAAAAGACUUUAUAACUAUCUUUUGUUGAUGGUUCCAGUUCAUGAAUAUGGAGUGUAUAGACACAUGCGAUGAACGUGGAUCGAACACGUGACCUUCAAAUCUUCAGUCUGACGCUCUCCCAACUGAGCUAUCCCCGCAACUUGUAACUCUCUUGUGUAGAAAUGAGUUGACAUGAAAAUUCUAAUAUGAUGUGUGUUAAUUGGGUUUAGGGAUAUACUUGAAAGAGAUGAACCAUAAGUUAUGUAUGUGACCUUUGCAGGUACAACAACGAAAAAAAGACUUUAACACACUUUUGCAUAUGGGUUAAUGAAUACGAAGUGUAUACAACACAUGAGCGGUGAAAAUGUGGAUCAAACACGUGACCUUCGGAUCUUCAGUCUGACGCUCUCCCAACUGAGCUAUCCUCACAUCUGGUAACACACACAACAAAAGACUUUAUAACUCUCUUUUGUUGAUGGUUCAUGAAUAUAGAGUGUAUAGACAUGUGCGGUGAACGUGGAUCGAACACGUGACCUUCAGAUCUUCAAUCUGACGCUCUCCCAACUGAGCUAUCCCCGCAACUGGUAACUCUCUUGUGUAGAAAUGAGUUGACGUGGAAAUUCUAAUAUGAUGUGUGUUAAUGAGUUUAGGGAUAUAGUUGAAAAAGAUGAACCAUAAGUUAUGUAUGCGACCUUUGCAGGUACAACAACGAAAAAAAGACUUUAACACAAUUUUACAUUUGGUUCAUGAAUACGAAUUGUAUACAACACAUGUGCGGUGAACGUGGAUCGAACACGUGACCUUCAGAUCUUCAGUC